AGUGCUGGUCAUCAGGGUGUCAAUGUAGCACUCGAAGUUAGGUAGAAUUACUGGUGCUUGGUGUUCAUGGAAUUAGCCAGAAGAAGAAGAAGACAGCAGAGGAAGAGGAUUGGGGAAGAAGAACAGAUACCUGGGAGGCAGAUGGAGUGGCUUGGUUGCCAAAGGCUUCUUGGGGAUAGCUGAAUUGCUUGGCUUAGGCUGAAGAGACAAGGGGAAAACUUGUCUGCAGUGCUGAGGGCAGAGCUCCAAUAGCCAAUGGAAGCCCCUCCCCUCUUGUCUUAGGAUAUAAUGGCACAGCUUUGUUGGGAAACUGGGAGUGAUUACUUUUUGGAUGCUUUGGAAGGUGGUCAACAUGCACAGCACUGAGAUUUUUCAAUUAUAUGCAUCUUUGGAACAAACACUGCCACUGUUGUGUUGAAAAUGGGGAAUAUAGCAGCAACUGUGCAGACAAAUGUCAACCAGAAGAGUAUGAAGAGGUAAUAUUCUUGUUGCAAUUCUCCACAACUCUUUCCUUAUACAUGAGCAGACCUUGAACUUAGAGCUGUCACUGGAAAGGGGAAAGGCUGGAAUUCUAAUGUUCAAAUAUAUUUGUCAGCCUGCACUCAGUGUUGCUCUGUGCUUUUCAGAUGACAAACUACAAUGACAGUUCACACAUACAUCUGAAAUUUUGCACAUCAAUCUUUUGAAAGGUGAGCUUUAAGUGAUGUGAAUCAAAGAUAGCCAUUGGACUACAUUUUGCAUGUGAAGUCUCGAAUCAAAGUUUCCUCAUGAUACUGGACUGAUAAUACGCUAAGCAAGAUUUACCUGUUAGCUUGACAGACAAGAAAAGAAAUGGAAAAUGCCUAGCGUUUUACCUCUUUAAGCAGUUAUCCAGAGUUUCCUUAUGCUUUCUCCUUAAAACCUCCAGGUAGUUGGAAGACAAAGGAAGAAGAUAAUGCCUCUUCUGCUUUUGCAGUUAAUAAGGGGUUGUUGUCUUCUUUUGUGUGGAAGCUGUCCUUCUCUGAGAUCCUCAUGAGAAAAGAGAAAGAGGUGUGAUAUUCCUCUUUAUUGUACCUUGGGGCAUCAAGCACUUCUGUUUAUGCUCCCAUUAUGAUGGACUGAAGCUAGAACUGGACUGGGCAAUCCUUCAAAUAGAAGGUUUCUUCGACAGAGGACUGUUGUCUGUAAAGGAGGACACAUGGCUACCAUCAUUUGCCUUUCAGGAGAGCAACUUCUUUUCUAAUAUGUUAAUAUGGAACCCCUACAAGUAGAGUUUGGGGGGCUUUGCCUAAUGGCAGUUUUAGAGAAGAAAGACAGAAAUUCAGAAAUACAAAUUUCAGUGAUUGGCCAUUGCUACUGUUGACUGUAUUGGGUUCUGACUGGAUACUGUAAAUGUCUCACAAAAGGAAGGAAGGA